rnacentral:lncRNA from 1 species
AUGGGACAAGACAAAUGGAACUGAGUUGUGAGAAAAAUACAGACUGUGUAGUGGAUAUUUGAAAGGAGACAUCCUCCUUUCUCCCUCAGCUAUAAAUUCAGAUACUCCAUGUCUACCUGGGCCAUUUAUACACAAUGUUCUUGUCUUCAUAGGCUAUUUCCAUAAAGCAGGAAAUGGCCCACAUCAUAAUCAAAGGCAAAGCUGCUGUUUGUUUGUAUAUAUGGAGAAGGUGGCUUUUUUUUAACUAUUUAAAAUAUAACUGUUUAAAAAGUUAGUAAGCUUUCACAGGAGAAAGAAAAAUGAAACAAUUUUACUGUAUUCCCCCCCCCCCUUUUUUUUAAUCAAAACCCAACAUAGGAACUGUACCAUGAUUGGCCAUUACUAACCAGGAACCUAACUUUUUUUUUUUUCAAGACGCCUGAAAGCCUGUUUUUGUUCUUAAAGGAAAUAGAAAAUAGUGCUAAAGACAAAAGAAUCUUCAUUUAGAUUUGUGUAUUGUUAACUAUUUUUACUGGGUAAUCAUCAUGGGUUGCACUGUUUUUUUUUUUUACAUGUAUAAAUAAGUUAACUUAUCAACAUGAAAUAAGUAAGAACAUACGUUCUGUUUGCUGAAGAAAAGGGCUUAUGCAUAUAGCAUCUCAGUUAAACCUGCUCUGGUAAUAUUUUAAAGAUGAUGUAGGUAAUUCUUUUUAAAAGCAAUGAAUCAUCUGGGACAUACUUUAUUCUUGAGAGAGAUACGUUCUAGAAACUUCACAAGCAACAUAAGGCUUCUUGGAAAGGUUAUUAGUACCAGACAGAGGAAGGACUCUGUCCAACUGUGAAGGAAGAUGCAUAUCUGAUUGAAUAUUGCAUAUCUGAUUGAAUAUUGCAUAUCUGAUUGAAUAUUCGUCUGAUGAUAGAACGAUUGUGGGCCACAGAGAGGCCAGGUGGUCAAGUUUUCUAAUCUUAGAUAUUACUAAGAGAUCAUGGGCUGAUCAGCCAUACUGUAAAGAUAUUAUAUUUUAGUGACGAUAAAUCCUGCAUUGCUUGUGAAAUUGUCAAAACCAUUUAACACUUACGCAUCCAGCAAGCCAUACAUAUGAGAGCAUCAUCUGUUUGGUUUAUUUUUUUCUAAGCCUUUGCUCAACUGGUUUUUCAUAAUCCAAGAUAUAUAUUUUACAGCAAAAUGCACAAAGUAAUAAAUUAAAAAGACUCUGGUAUAUUGCUAAUGGAAAAAGAGAAUUUUUUUCUAGUGUUAAGAAUAUAUUGAAAAUUCUUCUUGAGCAGUCUUACUGACAAAAGUAGGUUCUUCAGUGGUAUACCUUCAGGAAUAGACUUACAGAGACAAGCUCAGGUAGUUGUCCUGGUGUGGCAUUGUGUUUACCCUAUGUUGCUCAUUUUAUGACAUCCAGGGUAUCAUAUUGAUGGAAGACAAUAAAGCUUGGACUCACUGCCAGGCACCUGCAAAUGCAAAAAUUCUGUGGCUGCUAAAGAAAAAACAGAGUUAGCUAUUUAAUUUCAAAAUGUAAAGCUUGCAGUGUGAUUUUUUUUUUUUCUCCUUGAAGAAUUUUUUUUUUCUCAGGACUGCCAGCCAGAGCUGGUCCGACAGUAGUCACAGCUAUCACAGUAUCACUUUGUACAAUGAAAACAACAACAACAACAAAACCAUUUCCCACAGCGUUAUUCAGGAUGUGCUGCACACAUCUCCACCGACACCACAAGCGGACUUGUCCAGGGAACCCCAUCCAGGAUACGAUGAACCUACUGCUCCAGAACUUGCUCUUCGGCAUUGAGCAAGAUAUGAUGCCAUGAAACCUAAUUACUAAAUUCACUCCAAACAGGUUUUGAAUCAGUUACUGGCUGCUCACCCUGUACUUCUAAGGAUUGUCUGGCUAUGUGCUAUGUCAUAAACUAGAAGUUCAUCAUGUGUUUGUGUUUCUGCUUUCACUCUCCCUCCUGAGGAAAUUGCUCUGUUUUUGUUAAUUCUAUACCAUGAUACAGUGGAAAUAAAAGUUAUGAGAGCCUACCUAUUUCCUUUUAGAGAGAGAGAGAGAGAGAGAGAGAGAGAGAGAGAGAGAGAGAGAACACUAUAGCAGAUUUCCUUAAACCUUCCACUCUAUCAGUUCAAAUACCCUAUUGGGAAUUAACCCACUGAGCACAGAACAACCAUGUAAUACAAAGAGAUCAUGGGGUCAGCCCCACCAUCUUGAUUUAUAUAAGCUCUUUCAUUUAAGCGCCACCCGAAGAAUUCAGUUGCCUGUGCUUCAGUGGCCCCGAGAGUCCUCCUUGGACUGGCAUAAGAACUUGCUGAUAUUAUGCAGGACUAGAUUUAAUACAAAGCACAUUUUUUUGCCUAGAGUCCUCUGAAACGAAUAAAUGGGUUCAGAGAGAUGGAAAAUAACUGGAAACUGUCUCCUGGCUGGUGAGGAGAGAUAACAGUAGCUCACUGUUUAGGCAGUUCUGUGUCUUCCCAGAACAGCACUUGUAAACUGAGAGGUACAAACCUUUAAAGUAAUGUCUUGAGUGAAUAAGCAGAUGUAGGAGACUUGAAGUGCAGAAGAAAAUCAAUAUAGCAUUGUGAAUGCUACACUGCCUCUAACCGCAGCACUCAUGGUUUGGGUUCCAAACCAUAAAUAGACACAUUCUGUAUUAAAAACAAUUUCAAUUUUUGUUAUAUUUAUUUUCUUUCGAAUAGUGCCAAUAUUGGCCCAGAUUUUCACAGAAAAUUCAGGAAACUACUUAAUUCCUUCUCGACUUUGAUUGGCUAUCACCAGUCAGCUUUUGCCACCUUCUGUUUUAAGAAAUGUAGAAAAUUUAAUUUCAUACUAUCCAAGCAGAAUCUCCUUCCCCAUGUAGUAUCUGCUGAGUGUACAUAAUCAAAAUAACUUAAUUGAACAUUGGUAAAUAAAAUCUUCUUCAAAUUGUGCUUCAAAUGUGAAUACACAUCAGUCCUUUGGGUUCCGUGCUGCUCACCACCUGUCUCUCAUUCCAGCAUCCAAACUAUGUGGUUUGGAGAUGGUCUUCAGUGUCCACCUAACCAGGCAGGGGUCUGGCAAUAAGGACCUACUUUCUUUAACGAUCCACUCUCAGGGAGUCAGAAUAGUUAAGUAUUUAAAAGAUACGGAUCUAGAGUGAGAGCCCCCAAGGCUCCAUCUCUGGAUUCAUUUUUCUUUGUGGGCAAAAUAUUUAACAUCUCUGCAUCCCUGUCUUAAAUGAGUCUAACACUACCUACCUCACAACGGUGCUGUGAGGCUUACUGGGAACAGCAUGUAGGACACUGUGUACAACUGCAAACCUGCCAUAAAGGUGCUAUGGGAUUUAGAUUGGGACAAAGCAGUGACUGUCCCCUCCCCUAACCCUAUGCCCCCAGGAGCCCCAGGUCUCUGAGGAUAUCUCUCUAGCCUCUGUGGCUUGGUUUAUCUUUAAUAUCACUGGCUUCUGCGAAAAUUCAUUUAAAAAAUUCUCUUCUCUCAUUAAGAGCUGCUGGCUUUGAAAUGCUAUUACUUUUAAACAAGAACAGAAGUGAUUCACUCCCAGGUGCUGGGGAUGGGGAAUCAGAUAUUCAGUUCAACGUGGAAUGGGCAUUUGAAUAGGUAUCUUCAAGGGGACGAAUUUUAUUGGUGAAAUUUUUGCCUAGAGCUUUCUGCUCUUUUCAGUCUGACUCCCCAGCUUUCUGUUUCAUGAUGCACCCUCUUUCCUUCUAAUUGAAAAGGAAGCUGCAAUUCUAAUUUCAUAAUGAUUCUUUGCAGUCUGUUUUGAUCAAAGGACAAGUUCUUUUCAACAACUGUUGUAAUUAUUUUCUUACAGGGCCAUAUUUUAAUUGCCACAUUGUCUUAGUGUCCUUCAAAAUUGUCGGUUGCUUUAAAAUAUAGGGGAGGGAGGGGGAUCUGAUAAGUACAUUGUUGUAAUUGAUUUGUAUGUCUGAAUUGUCUUAUCAGAAAAAAAGUUACGGAUUUCAUCUGUUGAAACAAAAAUAAAAUACUUUCC